ACUGAGGAACAAAGCGGCGGGCUGAGCUGUCGCAGGGCCGGGGAGCUGCAGAGCCCUGCUCUGUGCUGGAGGUGCUGGCGUUGUAACUGCGAAGUCCAGAGAAAACAACUGCUCUAAAAACUUUUGUUCUCUCUCAGGGCCUCGUGAAAAAUCUUCCUAAUUGAUGGUUUGGACAUCAUCUAUGCCUGGAGUCUUGUAUAAUACCGCCCACCUUCCCGAGGAGGUCAAGUUACUGUUUUCAGGAGUUGCACUUCAGUGAUGCACCGUGUGCUCAAGGGAAACUGUGGACUAACGACCCUGAUGACUUUCGGGUUCCUGAAUGUGCUGUCAGAUGCUGAAUUAUUGAACUAGAUGAAUCUUCUGCAUUUAUUUCUGAUCUUCAGAAAGGCCUAAAAGAAAGCAGAGGACUGGCAUUUAUUACAGUGUUUUAAGGUAAGAUGUGACUCCCUGGGGGAAAG